rnacentral:rRNA from 1 species
AUUGAACGCUGGCGGCAGGCCUAACACAUGCAAGUCGAGCGGAUGAAGGGAGGUUGCUCCUGGAUUCAGCGGCGGACGGGUGGGUAAUGCCUAGGAAUCUGCCUGGUAGUGGGGGAUAACGUGCUGAAACGGGCGCUGAUACCGCAUACGUCCUGUGGGAGAAAGUGGGGGAGCCUCGGACCGCACGCUAUCAGAUGAGCCUAGGUCGGAUUAGCUAGUUGGUGGGGUAGAGGCCUACCAAGGCGACUAUCCGUAACUGGUCUGAGAGGAAGAGCCGUCACCCUGGCAGUGAGACACGGUCCAGACUCCUACAGGAGGCAGCAGUGGGGAAUCUUGGGCAAUGGGCGAAAGCCUGAUCCAGCCAUGCCGCGUGUGUGAAGAAGGUCUUCGGAUUGUAAAGCACUUUAAGUUGGGAGGAAGGGCAGUAAUUUAAUACCUUGCUGUUUUGACGUUACCAACAGAAUAAGCACCGGCUAACUUCGUG